GAUGAACGCUGGCGGCGUGCCUAAUACAUGCAAGUCGAGCGAACAGAUGCGGAGCUUGCUCCUCUGACGUUAGCGGCGGACGGGUGAGUAACACGUGGAUAACCUACCUAUAAGACUGGGAUAAUUUCGGGACACCGGCGCUAAUACCGGAUAAUAUCUUGAACCGCAUGGUUCAAUAGUGAAAGACGGUUUUGCUGUCACUUAUAGAUGGAUCCGCGCCGCAUUAGCUAGUUGGUAAGGUAACGGCUUACCAAGGCAACGAUGCGUAGCCGACCUGAGAGGGUGAUCGGCCACACUGGAACUGAGACACGGUCCAGACUCCUACGGGAGGCAGCAGUAGGGAAUCUUCCGCAAUGGGCGAGAGCCUGACAGAGCAGCGCCGCGUGAGGGAUAAAGGUCUUCGGAGCGUAAAACUCUGUUAUUAGGGAAGAACAGAUGUGUAAGUAACUAUGCACGUCUUGACGGUACCGAAUCAGAAAGCCACGGCUAACUACGUG
rnacentral:rRNA from 1 species